GCAGUGGGCGGGAGCUAUACAUGCAAGUAGAACGCUGAAGAGAGGAGCUUGCUCUUCUUGGAUGAGUUGCGAACGGGUGAGUAACGCGUAGGUAACCUGCCUUGUAGCGGGGGAUAACUAUUGGAAACGAUAGCUAAUACCGCAUAACAAUGGAUGACACAUGUCAUUUAUUUGAAAGGGGCAAUUGCUCCACUACAAGAUGGACCUGCGUUGUAUUAGCUAGUAGGUGAGGUAACGGCUCACCUAGGCGACGAUACAUAGCCGACCUGAGAGGGUGAUCGGCCACACUGGGACUGAGACACGGCCCAGACUCCUACGGGAGGCAGCAGUAGGGAAUCUUCGGCAAUGGGGGCAACCCUGACCGAGCAACGCCGCGUGAGUGAAGAAGGUUUUCGGAUCGUAAAGCUCUGUUGUAAGUCAAGAACGAGUGUGAGAGUGGAAAGUUCACACUGUGACGGUAGCUUACCAGAAAGGGACGGCUAACUACGUGCCAGCAGCCGCGGUAAUACGUAGGUCCCGAGCGUUGUCCGGAUUUAUUGGGCGUAAAGCGAGCGCAGGCGGUUUGAUAAGUCUGAAGUUAAAGGCUGUGGCUCAACCAUAGUUCGCUUUGGAAACUGUCAAACUUGAGUGCAGAAGGGGAGAGUGGAAUUCCAUGUGUAGCGGUGAAAUGCGUAGAUAUAUGGAGGAACACCGGUGGCGAAAGCGGCUCUCUGGUCUGUAACUGACGCUGAGGCUCGAAAGCGUGGGGAGCGAACAGGAUUAGAUACCCUGGUAGUCCACGCCGUAAACGAUGAGUGCUAGGUGUUGGAUCCUUUCCGGGAUUCAGUGCCGCAGCUAACGCAUUAAGCACUCCGCCUGGGGAGUACGACCGCAAGGUUGAAACUCAAAGGAAUUGACGGGGGCCCGCACAAGCGGUGGAGCAUGUGGUUUAAUUCGAAGCAACGCGAAGAACCUUACCAGGUCUUGACAUCCCGAUGCUAUUUCUAGAGAUAGAAAGUUACUUCGGUACAUCGGUGACAGGUGGUGCAUGGUUGUCGUCAGCUCGUGUCGUGAGAUGUUGGGUUAAGUCCCGCAACGAGCGCAACCCCUAUUGUUAGUUGCCAUCAUUCAGUUGGGCACUCUAGCGAGACUGCCGGUAAUAAACCGGAGGAAGGUGGGGAUGACGUCAAAUCAUCAUGCCCCUUAUGACCUGGGCUACACACGUGCUACAAUGGUUGGUACAACGAGUUGCGAGUCGGUGACGGCAAGCUAAUCUCUUAAAGCCAAUCUCAGUUCGGAUUGUAGGCUGCAACUCGCCUACAUGAAGUCGGAAUCGCUAGUAAUCGCGGAUCAGCACGCCGCGGUGAAUACGUUCCCGGGCCUUGUACACACCGCCCGUCACACCACGAGAGUUUGUAACACCCGAAGUCGGUGAGGUAACCUUUUGGAGCCAGCCGCCUAAGGUGGAUUGAAGA
rnacentral:rRNA from 1 species